ensembl:lncRNA
GCACCGAGGCGCCACGGCGCAUGCUCGACUCUCUUUUAUGAAUGGGGGGCUGGAGGAAGCCUGGCUGCGAGCCGCGGAGGACGGAUCCGGCUCUCGCUCGCUGUUUGCGUGUCCCCCUCCCCCGCUUUAUUUAUUUAAUUUUGUGAAUGGAGGGCAGGCGGUGACAGCUGCGCACGUACCGCGCCCUCCGCCCGGCCUGAAGGGAGGAUCAAAGCCCGGGGAGGACCCUUCAGCUGUUUGCUUUUCCUUUAUGCAGAAACUUUACCGCGGCUGCCCUAAAAACACCACCAAACACAAUCAAGAAUCCCUCCCCAGAAAAGCAAAUGAUUUCCCACAGCCUGAAGUAAGGUGCUGGAUAUCUGCUGGCAUUUCUCCCCCUCUGCUUGCAGCUGCCCUGCACAGCAGGAGAGCCUGGAGUGAUGGGGCUGCAUGGCGCAGUGUCAGCUUUCGGCUCCUCGGGUCCCACGUCCUGCAGGGCUACAGUUCAUACCGAGGAGCGCGAGCAUCAAAGAGGAGAUGGUGA